rnacentral:rRNA from 1 species
UACGAAGGGUGCAAGCGUUACUCGGAAUACUGGGCGUAAAGCGUGCGCAGGCGGUGAUGUAAGACAGAUGUGAAAUCCCCGGGCUCAACCUGGGACCUGCAUUUGUGACUGUAUAGCUAGAGUACGGUAGAGGGGGAUGGAAUUCCGCGUGUAGCAGUGAAAUGCGUAGAUAUGCGGAGGAACACCGAUGGCGAAGGCAAUCCCCUGGACCUGUACUGACGCUCAUGCACGAAAGCGUGGGGAGCAAACAGG